UGGAUUUUCAACUGUUAUCGUAACCGUAGCAAAAUAAAUUACACAAAAAGAAUUUGAAAUGUACAUAUUUACAGUAGAGAACUUGUGCUACCUAAGAUACAAUACUUUAUAAGAAUUAAAUUCCAUAAGAAGUGUUAGUAAUACGAAAAAAAGUACAUUUUAUUUAUUUUACAUUGACCAUGGCUGGUCUUGAGCCCACAUGGACUUCAUUCCAGUGCCUCAGUAUAGGGCAGCAAUAGCGACUCUCUAUGGCGGCCAUAAAUAACGUGAGCUACAAUAAA